CUGGACAGUGCCAUGAUGUGAAUACUGUUGAUACUGAUGAUGUGGAUACUGUUCAUACUGAUGAUAUAAUGCUGAUAAUGUGGAUAUUGAUGAUGUAGAUGCCCCGGAUGAUCAACCAGGGACUAAUAGAGCUGGACAGUGCCAUGAUGUGAAUACUGAUGAUACUGAUGAUGUGGAUACUGAUGAUGUGGAUGAUGAUGAUGUGGAUGAUGAUGAUGAUGAUGUGGAUGCCUCCGUUGAUCAACCAGGGACUGAAAUAGCUGGACAGUGCCAUGAUGUGAAUACUGAUGAUACUGAUGAUGUGGAUGCUGAUGAUGUGGAUGCUGAUGAUGUGGAUGCCUCCGUUGAUCAACCAGGGACUGAAAUAGCUGGACAGUGCCAUGAUGUGAAUACUGUUGAUGCUGAUGAUGUGGAUACUGAUGAUGUGGAUGCUGAUGAUGUGGAUGAUGAUAAUGUUGAUGCCUCCGUUGAUCAACUAGGGACUGAAAUAGGUCAACUCGAAGCAGUCGUAAAUGCUGGGAUUGGCACAAAGAUGUAAGAUGUAA